CCUACGGGAGGCAGCAGUGAGGAAUAUUGGUCAAUGGGCGCAAGCCUGAACCAGCCAUGCCGCGUGCAGGAAGAAUGCCCUACGGGUUGUAAACUGCUUUUAUUUGGGAAUAAACCUUUCUACGUGUAGAAAGCUGAAGGUACCAAUUGAAUAAGCACCGGCUAACUCCGUGCCAGCAGCCGCGGUAAUACGGAGGGUGCAAGCGUUAUCCGGAAUCAUUGGGUUUAAAGGGUCCGCAGGCGGACCUAUAAGUCAGUGGUGAAAGCCUACAGCUUAACUGUAGAACUGCCAUUGAAACUGUAGGUCUUGAAUUCGGUCGAAGUGGGCGGAAUGUGUAGUGUAGCGGUGAAAUGCAUAGAUAUUACACAGAACACCGAUAGCGAAGGCAGCUCACUAGGCCUGGAUUGACGCUCAGGGACGAAAGCGUGGGGAUCAAACAGGAUUAGAUACCCUGGUAGUCCACGCCGUAAACCUAUGAUUACUCGUUUUCGGUCGAUAUACAGUCGGAGACUAAGCGAAAGUGAUAAGUAAUCCACCUGGGGAGUACGGAGUCGUCGAGGUUAGUUAACGUACGAAAGGAAAGUUAGUUACGGCGUUGAGACGUUGCGACGGACGACGACGAGGGAGGAGG
rnacentral:rRNA from 1 species